rnacentral:tRNA from 23 species
ACGCUACGGACUAAAAUCCGUUGGCUUUAUAGACCAUGAGGGUUCAAGUCCCUCUACCCCCA